rnacentral:rRNA from 1 species
UACGUAGGGUGCAAGCGUUGUCCGGAAUUAUUGGGCGUAAAGAGCUCGUAGGCGGUUUGUUGCGUCGGCUGUGAAAUCCCGAGGCUCAACCUCGGGUCUGCAGUCGAUACGAGCAAACUAGAGUGUUGCAGGGGAGACUGGAAUUCCUGGUGUAGCGGUGAAAUGCGCAGAUAUCAGGAGGAACACCGGUGGCGAAGGCGGGUCUCUGGGACGGUACUGACGCUGAGGCGCGAAAGCGUGGGGAGCAAACAGG